ensembl:lncRNA
GCAUUUUAAUAAAAAUAUAAAAUAUUAAAGAAAUGAAAUAACUAAAAUAUAGUUUUUGCAUAAGUAUUCAGCUUCCUGAGUCAACACAUGUUAGAAUCACCGUUGGCAACGGUUACAGCUGCCAAAAGUUUAUAAAAGCACCUGGAUUGUCAAAUAAUUUGCCCAUUAUUCUUUUCAUAAUUCUUCAAGCUCUGUUAAGAUGGUUGGGAUGAUGGCUAGACAGCUAUUUUCAAGACUUGCCAUAGAUUUUCAAGCAGAUUUCAAUCAAAACUGACUUGGCCACGAAGGAACAUUUACUGUCUUUUUGGUAAGCAAAUACAGUGUAUAUAUCAUCACCAUGCUUGAAAAUACCAUCACCGUGCUUGAAAAUACCAUCACCGUGCUUGAAAAUACCAUCACCAUGCUUGAAAUUAAGGAGGCAGUUACUCAGUGAUAUAUUGUUGGAUUUUCCCCAAACACAAGGCUUUGAUUUUAGGCCAAAAAGUGUAUUCCUUUGCCAUGUUUUUUUGCAGUAUUACUUUAGUACCCUGUUGCAUAAAAUAUGAAUGUUUUGGAAUAUUUUUACUCUGUAUUUUAUUCUUCUUUUCACUCACCUGGGUCAUUAUUGUAGUCACUACAAUGUUGUUGAUCCAUCCUCAGUUGUAUCCCAUCACAGACAUGAAACUCUGUUUUAUAAUCACCAAUGGCCUCAUGGGAACAUCCCUGAGCAGUUUCCUUUCUGUCCUGCAGCUCAGUUCAGAAAGAUGACUGUACCUUUGAUGUUUCUGGGUGAUUUAAUACAUCAUCAACAGCAUAAUUAUGAACCUGACCAUGCUUAAAGAGAUAUUCAAUGUCUGAUUUGAUAUUGUUACCCAUCUACAAUCAAUGCCCUUUAUGAGGCUUUCAAAAAGCUCCCUAGUCUUUGAAGUUGAAUUUGUACUUGAAAUUCAACGCUUGACUGAGGGACCUUACAGAUAUUGUAUGCAUGGGAGACAGAGGAAGGGUAAGACAUUUUUUUUUUAAACUGUCCAUUUUUAUUUUUUCAUACAGUGAUUCCAUUUAACCUAUGUGAUUUGUUAAGCCAAAUAUUACUCCUGAACUAAUUUAGGCCUGCCAGAACAAAGGGGCUUCAUACAUAUGCAACGACUGUAUUUUAGUUAUCAAACUUGUAUUGAUCUUUAAUGUUUAGAAUGUGGCAUUACAGAGUAUUUUGAGUAGAUUGUUGACAAAAAACGACAAUGAAAUAUAUUUUAAUCCCACUUUGUAACAAUAAAAUGUGAAGAAAUCCAAGGGGUAUGAAUACUUUUGGAAGAUAUUGAAGAUGUUUGACUGAUUAAAUUCUUGAUUGCUGUUUCUCAUAGAGUAGCUCUUUUUACAGAUGGCUUCACAGUUGAUGAAAAGGACACUCAUCAACAAAUACAUUGUGGCAGAGCCCAUCAAAAUAUUCAACAUUGAUGAUCCCCCUUGUUAUUUUGGGGAGUUUAGUUACAUUCAUUAUAGUCAUCAAAUGUUAUGACCAGAAAAUGCCCAAACAUGCAGUUAUGGACCCCAAAGUAAAAGGCUGGUUUCUUCAAGUCAUUAAGGAAACAAUGCAUCCUGUUAUGAGGAUCAUUCUUUGAACCAUGGCAUUUGGUACAGACUUUCCAGAGGCCUACAGAAACAUCCAUGAGGAGUGGGUGGAGGCGCAGACAAGGACAUCGGAUGUUGAGUAUGACAUGGAGUACUAUGUCCCAUCUGGGAAAUAUGCAAAGUUAAAGAUUGUAGUGUAGAUAACACAAACUGUUGAGCCAUCGUUUUUACUGACGUGGGUUAAAGGGAUAAUUCAAGAGUUUGGCAACUAAACCCUUUUAAAAGUUAAAAGUUGAAGGUAGCGUGCGUCCUGCUCCCUGUAGACUUUCAGUAAUUGUGCUAAUGCUAGUUAGCAAUGGCUCCAGAAACUAAUGUACUUUUAACGUCCUUCAAACUGCACACAGACGUUGUAUCCAUGAGUUCCUCUGACUCUGGGUAAGUAGAAAAAAGGGCUUAAAUGCAACAAUCCCAAACUAUCCCUUUAAAAGUCAUGCAAGUCUUUGAGCUACAAUACAGACACGAUCGGUUGCUCAUGCCAGAACCAACAGGUGGACUGUCUUGAUAUUUGUUUUGCUUCCAUGGGGUCCUUAGUUAUCUGGUGGCAGAGUUGCAAAGAAAAAGCCAUAUCUCAGACUGGUCAAUAACAACAACAAAAAAGAUUAAGAUGGGCGAAAGAACACAAACACUGGACAGAGGAACUCUGCCUAGAAGGCCAGCAUCCCGGAGUCGCCUCUUCACUGUUGACGUUGAGACUGGUGUUUUGCGGGUACUAUUUAAUGAAGCUGCCAGUUGAGGACUUGAGGCAUCUAUUUCUCAAACUAGACACUCUAAUGUACUUGUCCUCUUGUUCAGUUGUUCACCGGGGCCUCCCACUCCUCUUUCUAUUCUGGUUAGGGACAGUUUGUGCUGUUCUGUGAAGGGAGUAGUACACGGCGUUGUACGAGAUCUUCAGUUUCUUGGCAAUUUCAAGCAUGGAAUAGCCUUCGUUUCUCAGAAACAAGAAUAGACUGACGAGUUUCAGAAGAAAGGUCUUUGUUUCUGGCCAUUUUGAGCCUGUAAUCGAAUCCCACAAAUGCUGAUGCUCCAGAUACUCAACUAGUCUAAAGAAGGCCAGUUUUAUUGCUUCUUUAAUCAGAAUCAUAGUUUUCAGCUGUGCUAGCAUAAUUGCAAAAGGGUUUUCUAAUGAUCAAUUAGCCUUUUAAAAUUAUAAACUUGGAUUAACUAACACAAC